rnacentral:rRNA from 1 species
UACGGAGGGGCUAGCGUUGUUCGGAAUUACUGGGCGUAAAGCGCACGUAGGCGGCUUUGUAAGUUAGAGGUGAAAGCCCAGGGCUCAACCCUGGAAUUGCCUUUAAGACUGCAUCGCUUGAACAUCGGAGAGGUAAGUGGAAUUCCGAGUGUAGAGGUGAAGUUCGUAGAUAUUCGGAAGAACACCAGUGGCGAAGGCGACUUACUGGACGAUUGUUGACGCUGAGGUGCGAAGCGUGGGAGCAAACAGG